GAACGGGUGAGUAACGCGUGGGCAACCUGCCCUAGAGAUUGGGAUAACUUCGGGAAACUGGAGCUAAUACCGAAUAAUGCAGCGGAUCCUUCGGGAUACAGUUGUUAAAGCGGGCUUCGGCUCGUGCUUUAGGAUGGGCCUGCGUCCGAUUAGCUUGUUGGUAAGGUAAAGGCUUACCAAGGCAAUGAUCGGUAGCUGGUCUGAGAGGAUGAUCAGCCACACUGGGAUUGAGAUACGGCCCAGACCACCACGGUGGGCAGCAGUAAGGAAUUUUGCGCAAUGGGGGAAACCCUGACGCAGCAACGCCGCGUGACCGAUGAAGCUUCUAGGAGCGUAAAGGUCUGUCGUAAGGGAAGAAAAGUUUAGAUGUAAAUAAUGUUUGAACCUGAC
rnacentral:rRNA from 1 species